rnacentral:rRNA from 1 species
GACUUUGUAAACUUGUACUCUAAUUAAUGUCAAACUCGGGUUUUUGCCAUACUUGUAGUUUUAGGGUGAAAUCAGAAACUAUUCUUAAGAGGGCCCGAGUUUUUAAAAUUUGAUGAGCAAGCCAGAUUAGUACCUGGUUAGACAAAAGUUAAAAGGGCAGGAGUAGAGUUGUAUUUAAACUGUAAGAAUAUUGGCAGGUCUUUAAAUUAUCUUUGGAGGUUGAGUCAUAAUUGAGAGCCCUCAUUAACAACUUUUAUUUUAGGCGCAUGUAUGAUCGUUUGUUUUAUUCUUAGGGGUUGUAAAUUUAGUUGUUUAUCACUAUAAAAAUAGAUAAAUAUCUGGUCUAUAUAGAAGAUGAAAUUUGACCUACAAUAUUUUAAGGUGUGGACCUGGGUUGUUGUGACCCGGCGGAAAAUGUAAAAGACAGUAAGUUAACUUUUGAUGGGUAGCUGAAGUUUAUUUAAAGAC